rnacentral:rRNA from 1 species
AUUGAACGCUGGCGGCAGGCUUAACACAUGCAAGUCGAACGAAGUUAGGGAGCUUGCUUCUGAUACUUAGUGGCGGACGGGUGAGUAAUGCUUAGGAAUCUGCCUAGUAGUGGGGGAUAACUUGGGGAAACCCAAGCUAAUACCGCAUACGACCUACGGGUGAAAGGGGGCUUUUAGCUCUCGCUAUUAGAUGAGCCUAAGUCGGAUUAGCUGGUUGGUGGGGUAAAGGCCUACCAAGGCGACGAUCUGUAGCUGGUCUGAGAGGAUGAUCAGCCACACUGGGACUGAGACACGGCCCAGACUCCUACGGGAGGCAGCAGUGGGGAAUAUUGGACAAUGGGCGAAAGCCUGAUCCAGCCAUGCCGCGUGUGUGAAGAAGGCCUUUUGGUUGUAAAGCACUUUAAGUGGGGAGGAAAAGCUUAUGGUUAAUACCCAUAAGCCCUGACGUUACCCACAGAAUAAGCACCGGCUAACUCUGUGCCAGCAGCCGCGGUAAUACAGAGGGUGCAAGCGUUAAUCGGAAUUACUGGGCGUAAAGGGCUCGUAGGUGGUUUGUCGCGUCGUCUGUGAAAUUCUGGGGCUUAACUCCGGGCGUGCAGGCGAUACGGGCAUAACUUGAGUGCUGUAGGGGUAACUGGAAUUCCUGGUGUAGCGGUGAAAUGCGCAGAUAUCAGGAGGAACACCGAUGGCGAAGGCAGGUUACUGGGCAGUUACUGACGCUGAGGAGCGAAAGCAUGGGUAGCGAACAGGAUUAGAUACCCUGGUAGUCCAUGCCGUAAACGGUGGGCGCUAGGUGUGAGGGUCUUUCUACGACUUUCGUGCCGUAGCUAACGCAUUAAGCGCCCCGCCUGGGGAGUACGGCCGCAAGGCUAAAACUCAAAGGAAUUGACGGGGGCCCGCACAAGCGGCGGAGCAUGUGGAUUAAUUCGAUGCAACGCGAAGAACCUUACCUGGGCUUGACAUACAUCAGAUCGCUGCAGAGAUGUAGUUUCCCUUUGUGGUUGGUGUACAGGUGGUGCAUGGUUGUCGUCAGCUCGUGUCGUGAGAUGUUGGGUUAAGUCCCGCAACGAGCGCAACCCUUGUCUUAUGUUGCCAGCAUUUGGUUGGGGACUCAUGAGAGACUGCCGGGGUUAACUCGGAGGAAGGUGGGGAUGACGUCAAAUCAUCAUGCCCCUUAUGUCCAGGGCUUCACACAUGCUACAAUGGUCGGUACAACGCGUUGCGACACUGUGAGGUGGAGCGAAUCGCUGAAAGCCGGUCUUAGUUCGGAUUGGGGUCUGCAACUCGACCCCAUGAAGUCGGAGUCGCUAGUAAUCGCAGAUCAGCAAUGCUGCGGUGAAUACGUUCCCGGGCCU